AUCUGUCUGGCUCAGUCGGUAGAGUAUGUGAGUCUGGAUCUCUUGGUUGUGAGUUCAAACCUUAUGGUGGAUG
rnacentral:tRNA from 1 species